GCUGCAUAAUCUCAGAGAUGGUCAGAGUUCAGAGUUAGGAAUUUGUUGGCCCCAGGCCUGGCCACUCCUGUCCAAUUAUACAGCUGCCUGCCUUUGUCCAAGAUGAAAUGUCUUCACUUCUACUCCCUGGGGGUAGAUUGAUGGCUGCAGACACCAUCACCCAGUUUCUCCCAGCUGAGAGAAGAUGAAGGGAAGUGCAGCCUCACUGAGGAGGCCUCUUUCUUGAAGGGCUUCCCAGGCCCAGAGAGGAGAAAGCCAUUUGGUACCACACAGCUUAUAAAAUAAAAGGCUGUGUUCCCUGUUUGAAAGAAUGGUGUGGAGAUCCUUCCCAUGGCCAAUGAACUCUGAGCCCACAGGUCCCCUGCCUUCCUGGGGAAAAGUUGGAUGGAAGACAAAGCCAUGGUCUGAUCUUCAGUUCCUGGAGACCAGCUGGAGCACAGGUCAUGCUCUACACACCCUGAGGACUUCUGGAGAAUGCAUUCAUGCUGUUUCUCCUCUCCAUGCCCCUAGAAUUCCCAAUACUCUGUAUGUGUGGGCUCAAGGAGAAUAGAGCUAGUUUUCUUGCCUGGAAUAGAUGGCAAGACUUGAUAAAAUGAUGAGAUUUCUUUCUUCCUUUUCUCCUUCCAAAUAUUUGCUAAGCAAGUACUGUAUACAACAUAUUCUCUCUAGUGCCUCUGGGGUUCCUUUCAUGUGCCCUUUCUUCCCUCAGUGACAUUCCUUCUUCCUGCUUUCUGCAUCAGAUUUCCCCCUGCCCUCCACCUCUCUGUAACCUCAAAACCUGUUUUCAGGGCAGUUUCAGUUAUCAGGUGUUUGCACCUUAGUGCUCCUCUUCCUGGAGAAAUUAGCACUGGAUGUUUGACCUUCCAUUGUCAUAUCAAACAGCCUGUAUUCACUACAUUUUAAAAAUCAGUUUGGAGGCAGGAGAGAGAUUUUCAAAGUAGAGGACUUUCUCCGAAACCUUAGAGUCCCACUAUCUGGUGACCACCCACUUGGAAUAUGCAUGAAGUGGGUGCCUUCACUGGCUCCUUUUUGUGAUUACAUCAGAGAAUGGAAUUGACCAAUCUCAGAAAAACCUAACAUUGCUCCUAGGAUAAUGUUCCAGAUCCUUUCCAUUGCACAUAAGACCCUGUACAAUCCAGCGUCCUACUUAACUCUUCAGACUUUUUCUGCACUGUCAGAGGAAAACCACAUCAGAAUUUUGUCAGAUCUUUGAUAGAAAUACUAUCUAAGCAUGCUUUUGCUUGAGGUGUUCUAUUCGUCAACCCCUUUCACCAUGCUAACUCCAGCUCCUGCUUCAGGUCUCACUUUAAAUGGUACUUCUUUUGGGGAGCCUUCGCUGACUCCUAGGGACCUAAUGAUACUGGAUUAGGUUUCUGAUACAUGAUCUCACAGCACCCAAUAACUUUAGGAGUGUCCGUCAUGGUGGUGUUCAGUUAUUUGUUUCAUGGAUGUGUACCUCACUGACUAGUCUUCACAGAUACCUUAUUUAUUAUUAUGUACCAAACAUCUGGCAGAGUGAGGGGCUCAUAUUAAAUAUCUGUGGAAUGUAUACAUGACCAGUCACAAGUACUGGGUAGGUACCAGUCUUAAGUACUUAUGAUGACAGGUACCAUGUUUCAAAGUCAAAACCUCUUCAAGAGUUCCCUUACCAUUUGGUAAUUUAAAAACUGAUUAGCUCUGCCCUGCUGAGCAGUCACCUGCUGUUAUGGUCAUCACAUCUUGGGCAGGCUCUGUACUUGGAUUCUGCCCUCUUUGCCUCACAUUUGAGCUUUCAGUCCAACCUGUGAGAUCCUACUGGAUUAAAUUUCCCCAGACACUGAUUUGACCAGGUGACUCUUCAGAUUAAAAAAGUUGUGUAUGGAAUACAGGUAAGACUUCACCUGGCCUUCAAGCCCAUCUUUAAUAUAAUUCUGACCCAAAUUUCUGUAUUCACUUAUUCUGUAAGAUAAAUUGUUUGUUCCACCAGAUGUUUUUACCCAUAACUAUAAGCUUUGUUUACAUUAUUUACUCCACCCAGAAGUGCCUCCUUCUCUUCUGUUAACAAACUUUGAUUUACCCCAAGAGUACAGCUUAUGUCUCACUUUCUCUGCAAGUCCCUAGCCACUUGUGUAAGAACUCUUUCAGUUGUAAGUGAUAAGGCCUAUCUCAAAUUGAUAUAAGUUGAAAAAAAAAAAAAAAAGAACUUACUGGUUUAUGUAAUUGAUAAGUCCAGGGACAGAAUUUAAAAAUGACUUUAGGUAAAAUAUUAUCAGUAAUCCUUCUCUUUCUUCUAAUUCUGUUGAUUAUUUUGAUCUGUUUCUUUCUUUCUGAGUUACUUUUGCCAGGGAGUGGAUGACAAUAAGUUUCAUGUGGUGGUCCAAUAAACUCAAGGCUUACAUCCUACCA
ensembl:lncRNA